rnacentral:rRNA from 1 species
AACUCUCGGCAACGGAUAUCUAGGCUCUUGCAUCGAGGAAGAACGUAGCGAAAUGCGAUACUUGGUGUGAAUUGCAGAAUCCCGUGAACCAUCGAGUCUUUGAACGCAAGUUGCGCCCGAUGCCAUUAGGUUGAGGGCACGUCUGCCUGGGUGUCA